rnacentral:rRNA from 1 species
CUUCAAUAGCGUAUAUUAAAGUUGUUGCAGUUAAAAAGCUCGUAGUUGAAUUUCGGGAUCAAUAUAUUGGUCGUGCCUCCGGUACGUACUGGUAUCGUUGAUUUCUACCUUCUGACGAACCAUGAUGUCAUUAAUUUGGUGUCAUGGGAAAUCAGGACUGUUACUUUGAAAAAAUUAGAGUGUUUAAAGCAGGCACACGCUUGAAUACAUUAGCAUGGAAUAAUGAAAUAGGACGUUUGACCCUAUUUUGUUGGUUUCUAGGAUCGACGUAAUGAUUAAUAGGGAUAGUUGGG